AUCCAGAUAUAUUUUGGAUUUCAAUUUUUCAGUAUUAUGAUCACAUUCAGACUGACCAUGUUUCCGUAUUAGAUUUCUAUUUCUGCAUUAUCUUUUAUUAUAUGAAUGUUGUGCAUGAUUACCAGAUAGACAGAGGGCGUCCCGGGCCUUCACGGUUCGGGAAUGCUAGUCACGGCUAGGGCCCCAGUUCGGGUCAUGACAAAUAGUCUCUCUGCUGCAAGUAAGGGUGGACCUACGUUAAUUUUUGGGGUGCUCCGGCACCCCUUAAAACUCGACGCAGAAUAAGUAUAAUUACAUAAGAAAUAUAUGAAAAUACGUAUAAAAAAAUAUAAAGGCACCCGAUAAAACAAAAAGUAAUUGGUUGGGUGCAUCGACAUUUAGGUUGAUCUUAGUAACAAAAUAUUGUUAUAAUCAAAUUAACUACACGAAACAAUAAUAGUAACAAAAAUUGAAGAACGAGAAGUGAUUGAUAAUACUAGGCUACUAGAAUGGACAACCAGAAAAUAUACUCACACUCGUUAGUAUGAACACUAUCCUACCUAUUAUCCUUCUGCCCUAAUUUGUGACCUCUGUAACCUUCUAUCUAAAAUCACGUCCUCAGUAAGUUGAAGACACAUCAUGUCCUGCCCAACCACCUUUGCUAAAUACAUUCCCACCCGCUAGUAUGGACAAAAAUAUUUUAUGGUUUGAAAUCAGGGGCGGAUGUAGCACUAUGAAUGCGGGUUCCCGGGAACCCCCAAGUAUUUUUGUAUACUUUGUAAUUAUAUUAAAAAUAUAUUAAAUAUAUAAGAAUUAUAAGUGAGGAAUCCAUAAACAAAGUUGUUAGUUGGUUUAUUGGUUCAAAAAGGGCUUAAAGAAAUAUCUCACAAACUAUGCCCCAGUUUGAAUUCCCUUGGAACGACUAUUUUUUUAUAUUAUUGGAAACCCACAAACUUAAAAUCCUGAAUCCGCCUCUGUUUGAAAUAUCUUAAGAAUUAGCUAUUUCGAUUCCAUCAUUUUAAUACAAAAUUAUUUUUUAGACUAAUUAUUAUUCAUUAAUAUGUGGGAGAUAAAAUAAUCUCAAAUUUUAUCGGUAAUAAUUGAAUGGAAAAUAAAAUAAUCUCGAAAUUUAUCCUCCAUUGUUAUUCCUUAGCCACAAAUCAGAUGAUUCCUUAAGGGGCGUUUGGUGUGAGAUAUAAGAGAUAAAUAGUCACGAGAUAAAAUGCAAGAUUAUUUUAUCACAUGUUUGGUUAGAGGUAUUAGUUAGUCUCAGGAUUAUUUAUACUAUCAUUUAUACCAUAAUAAUGAGAUAAGUUAUCCCAUAUACAUGAUGGAAUAACUAAUUACGGAAUACCUAAUUCUAGAAGUAAUUAUCCUGCAAUAAUCCUUUCCCAACCAAACGACUCCUUAGGAGUUGAUAUACUAGACAGACUAAAUAGUUAUGAGAUAAAAAUUUAAUACUAUAGUCUUAUAAGUGUUUGGUUGUUAAUUUUGAAAUAAGUUAUACUAGAAUUAGUAAAUAAUACUGAAUAAGUUAUACUGAAAUUAAUAAAAUUAGUUAUUUUUAUGAAAAAUCCUUCAAAUUAACCAGAUAAUACCAAUGUAAUGUAUUACAAUUUUAUCAUAUAGAAGUUAAACCCUAAAAUAAUUGAUCUAGAUUUGUUCAAAAAAGAGGAGAGAUUUAUGGAAAAAUCUUUAACAGUUUUUGGAAAAAGUCUUAAAAUAAAUUCAGAUUUGUUUUACAUCUUAACAACCCCAAUAAAUAAGUGUUUACAACUAAACAAGAAAAGAUGAUUAAUUAAACCAAAUAUCAUUUCAAGAAUAUAAUGGAUCCCUUAGAUAAUUCUCUUGUUGUGAAACAUAUUGAAGGAAAAGAGAAGUUGAAAAAGAAAAUUAUUAAAAGCAAAAAAUCAGUAUCAAUAUGUUGCAAAGGAGAAGGGAAAUUUGUACCAAUGAAAGUGGCAAUUCAAGAAGCUUCAUCCAAAAAUUCAUUAUUGGAAAGAAUUAAUUCUCUUGAAUCUCGACUUUUUCAGCUUUGCUUGGAAAUUGAAGCUGCAAGAACAUCAUCAAAUAUAGAGACUCCAUUUGGAGAAAAGUCAAAAAUUAAUGAUGUCAAGAGACAAACAAAUUGUUGUUAUCCAAUUUUUGAUUUUUCACAGUGAAAAUUCUGGCUCCGCUCCAACAAUCUAAAGACUACGGAUCGAGAACACUGUUAGCUGAAUUCCAAAUCAAAAAAUGUAGACAUGGAAUCUGAAUAGAUAGCUUGGGGCACGGGAGCUUUCCUUAAGAGAAGAGUUCCUUCAUAUGGAGACUACGGUGUUCACAUCUUUAAUCUAUCGGCUAGAGGUCUCUAGACCCCUUUCCUACAUCUUUCUUUUGCAUUUGAAGCUACUUCAUCGUCUAAUUUGCCUCGUAUAUGAGUACGCGUCUUUUCAACAUGAUAAUAUAGGAAAGGGCCCCAAUCCUAUAGAACCAAUCUCAUAAUUUGGCACAAGAUUUGGAUCAAUCACCAACUUGCAAAAUGAAGAAGAAGAAGCAAUUGCAUUUUGGGAGAAGCAAAACUACUAAGGAUAAUAUUGAAAAUAUUACAAGUAAAAAUGGGAAGAAAAAAAGUUUAAAAACAAGUUGGCCACAUCUUAGGAUAUUAGGUUGCUAAUACAAUUUAAAUUAUAUUCCAAUUUUAACCUUGAUUUUUGUUGAUGGAUUUUGUGAGAAUGACAUAUGUAUUAUCCAUGUUGGUGUUUUAUUGCGGGAUUAGUGAUCUCGGAAUCGUUAUUCCAUGUUAUGAGAAUGAUAUCACAAUUGUGGUAUAGACUGAUUCGAACUUUUCAGUUCGAGAAUUUAAAGAACAAUUAAAUGCUAAGUGAAAUAAUUUCAUAUUUCAUUUUGUUA